rnacentral:rRNA from 1 species
GGAAUUACUGGGCGUAAAGCGUGCGCAGGCGGUUGUGCAAGACCGAUGUGAAAUCCCCGAGCUUAACUUGGGAAUUGCAUUGGUGACUGCACGGCUAGAGUGUGUCAGAGGGGGGUAGAAUUCCACGUGUAGCAGUGAAAUGCGUAGAGAUGUGGAGGAAUACCGAUGGCGAAGGCAGCCCCCUGGGAUAACACUGACGCUCAUGCACGAAAGCGUGGGGAGCAAACAGGAUUAGAUACCCUGGUAGUCCACGCCCUAAACGAUGUCAACUAGUUGUUGGGGAUUCAUUUCCUUAGUAACGUAGCUAACGCGUGAAGUUGACCGCCUGGGGAGUACGGUCGCAAGAUUAAAACUCAAAGGAAUUGACGGGGACCCGCACAAGCGGUGGAUGAUGUGGAUUAAUUCGAUGCGACGCGAAAAACCUUACCUACCCUUGACAUGCCACUAACGAAGCAGAGAUGCAUUAGGUGCUCGAAAGAGAAAGUGGACACAGGUGCUGCAUGGCUGUCGCCAGCUCGUGUCGUGAGAUGUUGGGUUAAGUCCCGCAACGAGCGCAACCCUUGUCUCUAGUUGCUACGAAAGGGCACUCUAGAGAGACUGCCGGUGACAAACCGGAGGAAGGUGGGGAUGACGUCAAGUCCUCAUGGCCCUUAUGGGUAGGGCUUCACACGUCAUACAAUGGUGCAUACAGAGGGUUGCCAAGCCGCGAGGUGGAGCUAAUCCCAGAAAAUGCAUCGUAGUCCGGAUCGUAGUCUGCAGCUCGA